GACAACAUGACAGUCACAGUGGUGUAUGAUAACUCUGAGGCAACAGAGCUCUGUGCAGCUCAGCACCUCUACCUCAAGCCCAUAGCAAAAUUGUUGAUCAACAUAUUGCUUCCAGGGAGUCUAGAACCUGUAAGGCCCUUCUCUAACUGGGAAGUUCUUGACCAGCUGAAGAGCCUGAUUUGCCCUGACCAGUUCACCACAGUUCAGCUCUCCAAGAGUACAAAGGACUUCAUUCAAUUGGAGGGUGAGGCUGAAACCCGAAGUUUGGUUCAGAUCCUGAAGGCAAAGUUACAUGGGAAGAUUAUCAAGCUAAAUGGUUUGAAAAAACACUUAAAAGUAGUGGCUACAGAUGCCCAGGGAGAAUGGGAGCACUUCCCCAAGGAAAAAGAGCCCUCGUUGAGUGAUGGGGCUGAAGAGCAGGAGAAGAGCCCAGAUUCCAUAUGUUUUGAAGAGUUGCCCUGUAAAUGGUUUGCACCUAAAUGUUCUAGCAAAGAGAAGCCAUAUGAAGAGAUCCUUUGGGUAGUCUUUGAAAGUUUUGGGAAGAUCAAGAAUGUGGAUAUCCUUAUGCUUGGCCCCUACAGAGAAGUGAUGACUGACAGGAGCUUUGGGGGUUUUAGCUUUGGCUUACAGACAUUUGAGGCAUUCAUACAGUAACAAGAGGCAACUGACUUUGUAAAAGCCAUGGAGUCCCUUUGAAGAAUGAAACUGAUGCUUAAAGGAAAUGAUGGGAAAGCUCUGGCAUGUAACAUUAAGGUUACGUCUGAUACGACCAAGCACUUCAGCGAAGGAGCUAUAAGGAGGAGAAAUCAGGAAAGGCUAAAAUUACAAGAACUAGAAGAAGAAAGGAAAAAAGAAAAGAAAAGAGAAGAGGAAGUAGCUGAAAGAAAAAGAAAAGAUGAUGAGCAAAAAGUCCGAGUAAAGAGGAAGAAGGCCAGGGUAAGGAGACAAGCCCUGAAGGAAAGAGACAGACACCGGCACAGGAAACAGAAGCCCAAAGCCAAAGCUGAGGCACCUCAAGAGCCAGACUCUUCAGAGGAGUGGGAGGAGAGGAAGUACCUAGUGGCUCAGAGGGAUCCAUACAGUUUAACCCACAGGAAGUCGACAUUAUUGGCACCAAAGCUAAUGAUUCUCCAGGGAACACAUUGAAAACUCUGGAAGAACAGCUAAACACUCUGUACCUUCAAAAUCAAGAGGAAAUGUCAAAAUGUCAGGUUGCCAAGUCAGACAAUAAACAAAAACAAAAAAUGAAGAAAACAACUAGGGAUCACUUACAGAAAUCUUCCCACUGCCUUGGGGAAGAAAAUUUAAGGUAUUCCCCUAGAAAACAGAGAGCUGGAAUAUUAUUAGAUGAUGAGGAAUAUGAAUACAGUUUGUUUUUUAAGCAUAACUCCUUGGAGAUUACGAUAAUUGAAGGCCAGUCUCUUGAAAAUGAAGACCACCACGGUUCUAGUGAAUCCUGUUCCAGAUUAUCUGGGAGAGGCCAAGGCAGGAAACCUAAGAUCCAUGAAACAGAUGCAUUUUUUGACUAUCUUUUCAAUUAUUAUGAACCUCCACAAUAUACUCGUAUCUGCCUAGAAACAAGUCAGGUAGCAGGCACAUGUCAGUGGCAGAGGGAUGUCCAAGCUAAGGGAGAUGGAUUUCAGAUUAAUUUGAGAAAGUGUAGGCAUCACUCAAUCAAUUCGAGCCAAGUAGAAAACCUGGAAAGGAAAGAACAGGUUCAAGAAAAUAAUUACUCAUCAAAGAUUUGUACUCAGGAUCCUGAGCGUAAACGAGGAAAAGUAGAUUAUGCCAAAGAAUGUACUAAUGGGUUUGAAACUCAUUGCCAGGAGACAGCCCAUAAAGCUGGUGGUCAGCUGUCCCCAACUGAUGGAAACAGCUGUCUGUUGGAAAAGACUCAUAGUUAUCAUAUUGAAGAUUCCAAAUCCACAAGGAAAAGCCAAGUGUCCCCACCCCAUGAGUCAAUAGGCUUAGGUUUACAGUUGACAGAUUUCUUAGAGGAAAUUAGUAGUGAUUCUGAAUGCUUCAGUGAAACCCUUAGUAUAAACAAAGAGGAGAAAGAGAAAUCUGUGGCCACAUUUAAUAGUUUCUCAGAAAAAGAACCUCUUGACACUGACAAAAUGAUCACUCGCAAACAAAAUACAAGGUCGAGUCAGCAGACCUUUUUUUCAAAGUGGAAGCGUGAUGGUGAGGAAAAAUACUCUAAUUACAAGUUUAGGACACCAGGUAGGAAGUCUGAGUAUGAACCGAGAUGGAUAUGUUCAUGGCCUAGGGGUGAAAGUCAUUUCAUUAGACAUGAAAACAACAAUGGACAAAUGAAGGGACAACUAGCCCCCAGAUACUUGUUUGAUGAAGGCUACUACCAGGAACCCAGUUCCAGUUAUCUAAAGAGGUUUAGUGAUAGUACAUUGGACCAGAAAGUGAACUAUGGGCCCUCUCAGGUGCCCGUAAUGUCAUCAAGAAGUGCUAGGUCUUUCUAUUUUGGUAAUUUUCACGGAAGAAGAGGGACUCCUUGGAAGUCAGAAUAUAACCAGAAUUCAAGAUUUAGAGGAUGUAAUUAUAACUAUUUGAAGUUCAAUUCUGAUUAUUACUAUAAUAGACAUAAUGGUCAGGAGUAUAUUGACUAUGGAAGCUAUUCAGGAAAUAACUGCACUGGUUCUUUAAAUUUUAAAUGUUUUGAUGACCACUUAGAUCAGGAGUAUCCUUUUUCACAAUAAACAUGUUACAAGAAGAAAAUUUAAAACCAAAUGUAGCCAUGUAAUUAACAACUACACAGGAAGACAGCAGCAUUAAAAACUUCAGAACCUGUGUGUUUUAUAUUUCCCAAAGCUUGUCAAUACACCUGGAGUCAUUUUGACCUAUGCUUUCAACUUUGGCAAGAGAAAUAAUAAUUUGUAUUUGACCCUGCUCAAGCUUUUAAAUGCUGCUUGAUCCAAGGAUAGACAUUUCUAUGGUUCAGCUAAAACUUUACUUCUACGCCAGUGAAGGAGCAGAUUAACAUUGAGAGGGGUUGAGAUGGCCCUCUAUGGCUCCUUAGGUGUCAUAACAUCAUCAUUUAGUGUCAUUUAUCUCCAAAGACGACAGCAGUGAAUGAAUAAUGAUCCUUUUACAUGUUCUUUGAUUUGGUCAGAAACACCACGUGCAGCAACAAACUUUCCUGACUUUUAUUUAGAAAUAAUUGUAGAUAAAAGAGACGACAGUUAGAACAUAGACUUCUUCAUGACAUUAAAGAGUUGCAUGAGCACCCACCAGGAGAAAAUUAAUCUUAUUACUAUGUUUAAAUACUCAAAGAGUUGUCUUUUUCAAGACAAAGUCUUGGAAGAAGAAUCUAAAAGUGGUCCAGAUUGUCCUUUGAGGUUUAAAUGGAUAGUAUUUAAACCCAUUAGCAGAGUUGUUGUUUUUUUUUUAAGAACCCCAUGUCUUUCCAUUUUAGAAAAACAGCAAGAUUGAAGUAAUAUAACCACUGGAAUUUGCAAAAGGAAAUAUUGAAAAAUUGUGGGGCACCAAUGAUGUCACUUGAAAAAAGAUGCUGUGACUAUUCCACUUCAGGUUAUGUAACCCUUUCACUCAGGGCUGGAUUACAUCAGUUUGUAAAGUCACUGAAUAUCCCCCAAACUGAACUUUAUUAAACAGUAACAAGUGCCUCUCUUCUCAAUCCUCAGUGAUGCCAUCAAGUUUUCAAAAAGAGUAAAGAGAAAAGCCUAUAGUUUUGUAGCUAGGGAAAAAUGUAUAUGUGUAGGAUUUGUAAACUCUCAACAUAAGCAAUUGAUCUUUUUACCUACUAGUUUUUGACUUCAUAAAUGUUUUUAAAUUGAAAUAUUUUAUGGAUUCUUAAAGACUUACAUCUUAGUGCAGUGCAUGUUUUAUAGAAAGCUCCGCUGAUUCAUUCUGCCUUACCUUGCAUUUAGGACCUCAGGGGCAAUCGAUUACCUUUUUUUUCUCCAACAAAACUAUGCCUGACCUGGUAAUUGAAGACAUUAAUGAGAUUAGAGACUGUCAGCAACAGGAAAAAGUCAUUUUUAAUCCACAGAAGCAGUAAAGGGCAACACUUUGAUGUGACAUGAUUCAUUCAAACACUCUUAAUUUGACAUUCUGUAGAAAAGUACCAGCUGAUAGAGCCAGGUAGAAUGCCAGUCAUUGUGGUUGCCCAGAAUAUCACAAUGUGUGCAUAUAACCAGCCUUUUGAGCAAACGGGUAUGUGAAAGGGCUACAAAAGCUUAUUUAUCUGAAGGAAGAGCCACAAGUUGUUUCAUCGAUCUCUUCUAAUCAUAGAGCUAUGUUAGUACAUGCAAGAAGUCAGAAAUGAAUGUACCAUAGCAGAUGAUGUUUAUUAUUAAUAAGAUAAUAACCAGUGGAUGAUUUGUUGGCUCCCUUGUGUUCAAUUCCACUUUCAAGCCAGUGACUCUUCCAUCAAAACUAGAUUUGGCUUGUCAAAUCUGAAAAACAUUGCUUAUGGGGCAAGUGCCUUGAAUGUUAAUGUUCAAAGUACUGUUGUCCAGAGUAGCCUUUUGAACUGCUAACAGCUUGUAUUUUGUCAGGCAACUUUCAGUAACCAGGUAUUAUUUUUCUUUGACGAAAACCUGCCUCUUAAUUUUUCAUGUGUCAUGCCAUUAAAACAAAGAAUAUUAUGAGUUUGUAAUGAGAAGCAGCUAUGCUUUUGAAAAAAAUCUCACUGUGUUCUGUCACUUGAUUUUUCUUUGCAGAGUUUUUAGACAUGAAAACAGUUUGCUGCUCAGUAGUCAGACAUAAAAAUAAAUUGCAGAAUACAGCAUGUGCAAUUUUUAUGUGUAAUAGAACCGGUGCUAUUUCUAUAUAACAUUUUUGUCUUUUUUUUUUUUUUUUUUUUGCUAAAUACCAUCCUGGGACUUAGAAGAAAGUAAAAAUACUGGUUUUAUGUUUACAUUUUGUAUAACCCUAGACUUGUAUAUGUCUUAUAAAGAGUCAACCUUUUUGGUGGGUAGGCCCUAAAUGAGGAAGAUAACUUAUCCUGUACUUUUUAAUUGAAUGGCUUAGUAAGGAGUAAAAUACAACUAAAAUAUUGUAACCACCUUCUUAAUUAACACUGCUAUUGUUUGUUGUGCUAAGUGGUGCAAAAGUGUUUUCUCAUAUCUUUUUCUAUGUCCUAUUAAGGGCCUGAGCUUUAAACUUUGUCUUAAGGUAUUUUCAUGUUUUUCUUAUGAGUUGUUGGUAGUUAUGCAAAAAAACUAAAAAUAUGUCAAUGUGCUUUCAAUUUGUUUAAAUUUCUCAGGUAGAAAGCCAUGUAACCUGGUAAUUUUGAAAAUAAGAAUCAAAUAAACUUAUUUUUACUUGUUGCAAAAUUGUUUAAAAUAGUCAUUUUUAAAUAAAUGCUGAUAAGUCCACCUUUGGGGGAAAGUUCCUACUUACAGUAUGCUGCUUUGCACUAAUGUUGCUGAUCUCUUUUCUCAUUUGCAUUGUUAGAGAAUACAUAUUUGUCAGAUAUAUUAAAAAUAAAAUUAUCAUAG